rnacentral:rRNA from 1 species
AUGUUGAGGAUACUAUCAUUCAGCUAUUAUGACUUGCCGUGUCAUCUGAAGACAUGCUUAUUAUAUCUAAGUAUGUUUCCAGAAGAUAGCAAGAUCAUGAAACUUCAGUUGAUAUGGAUGUGGAUUGCAGAAAGCUUUGUCCAAUGUGGAAAAGCAAAUACUAGUCUCUUUGAGGUCGGAGAAACUUACUUCAAUGAGCUUGUGAACAGAAGCUUAAUCCAGCCGGUAUAUGACUAUAAUGGCUUAGUAUAUGCUUGUCGUGUACACGAUAGUGUACUUGAUCUAAUUUGCUCCUUGUCAAGUGAUGAGAACUUUGUUACUAUAGUGAAUGAUAAUAGUGAUACCAUGUCUUCAGAGGGCAUUGCCCGCAGAUGGUCCCUCCAAAAUUUCCGUUCCCUAGUGCCUCUAUGCAUGCAUGCUUAUCGUUGCAACGAGGGCGUCGACUGA